rnacentral:rRNA from 1 species
ACGGAAGGCAGCAGUGGGGAAUAUUGCGCAAUGGGGGGGACCCUGACGCAGCAACGCCGCGUGAAGGAAGAAGGCCUUCGGGUUGUAAACUUCUGUCGCAAGGGAAGAAGACAGUGACGGUACCUUGUGAGAAAGUCACGGCUAACUACGUGCCAGCAGCCGCGGUAAUACGUAGGCGACAAGCGUUGUCCGGAUUUACUGGGUGUAAAGGGCGCGUAGGCGGGCUUGCAAGUCAGUUGUGAAAUACCCGGGCUUAACUCCGGGGCUGCAAUUGAAACUGUAAGUCUUGAGUGUCGGAGAGGAAAGCGGAAUUCCUAGUGUAGCGGUGAAAUGCGUAGAUAUUAGGAGGAACACCGGUGGCGAAGGCGGCUUUCUGGACGAUAACUGACGCUGAGGCGCGAAAGUGUGGGGAGCAAACAGGAUUAGAUACCCUGGUA